UCCUGCCUACGGGAGGCAGCAGUGAGGAAUAUUGGUCAAUGGACGAGAGUCUGAACCAGCCACGUAGCGUGAAGGAUGACUGCCCUAUGGGUUGUAAACUUCUUUUAUAUGGGAAUAAAACGUUCCACGUGUGGGAUUUUGUAUGUACCAUAUGAAUAAGGAUCGGCUAACUCCGUGCCAGCAGCCGCGGUAAUACGGAGGAUCCGAGCGUUAUCCGGAUUUAUUGGGUUUAAAGGGAGCGUAGGUGGAUUGUUAAGUCAGUUGUGAAAGGUUGCGGCUCAACCGUAAAAUUGCAGU
rnacentral:rRNA from 1 species